CAGGCCUAACAAUGCAAGUCGAACGAGAAGCCACCUUCGGGUGGUGGACAGUGGCAGACGGUGAGUAACGCGUGGGAACGUGCCUUUCGGUUCGGGAUAACCCAGGGAACUUGGGCUAAUACCGGAUACGCCCUUCGGGGGAAAGAUUCAUCGCCGAAGAUCGGCCCGCGUCGGAUUAGCUUGUUGGUGGGGUAGCGGUCUACCAAGCGACGAUCCGUAGCUGGUCUGAGAGGAUGACCAGCCACACUGGGACUGAACACGGCCCAGACUCCUACGGGAGGCAGCAGUGGGGAAUAUUGGACAAUGGCGAAAGCCUGAUCCAGCCAUGCCGCGUGGGUGAAGAAGGCCUUAGGGUGUAAACCCCUUUCAGCGGGGAAGAUAAUGACGGUACCCGCAGAAGAAGCCCGGCUAACUCCGUGCCAGCAGCCGCGGUAAU
rnacentral:rRNA from 1 species